AACGAGGAGACAAACGUUAUCCGGAGUUACUGGGCGUAAAGGGCGUGUAGGUGGUAGUGUAAGUCUGGCGUGAAAUUUUUCGGCUUAACCGGGAAAGGUCGUCGGAUACUGCACAACUAGAGGACGGUAGAGGCGUGUGGAAUUCCGGGUGUAGUGGUGAAAUGCGUAGAGAUCCGGAGGAACACCAGUGGCGAAGGCGACACGCUGGGCCGUACCUGACACUGAUGCGCGACAGCAUGGGGAGCAAACAGG
rnacentral:rRNA from 1 species